UACGGAGGGUGCGAGCGUUGUCCGGAAUCACUGGGCGUAAAGGGCGCGUAGGUGGCGACUCAAGUCAACGGUGAAAGCUCGACGCUCAACGUCGAGUCGGCCGUCGAAACUGGGACGCUUGAGCACUGUAGAGGCAGAUGGAAUUCCGGGUGUAGCGGUGGAAUGCGUAGAGAUCCGGAAGAACACCGGUGGUGUAGACGGCUUACUGGACCAUAACUGACGCUGAGACACGAAAGCGUGGGUAGCAAACAGG
rnacentral:rRNA from 1 species